rnacentral:lncRNA from 1 species
UGGUUUAUCUCUUUUGAGCUAUUUUAUACAAGAGAUAUAUAUACUAAUAAUAUUUGUUUCUUAUUUUUAACAUAUAUAUUGAAAGAAUAAAAAAUGCAUUACAAGCUUGCAUUAAUAUGAUUUAUAAAUUUGAUCCAUUCUAUCGGCUAAUACAAACAUAAUUCUACAUAGGCACAAUUAAAAUGGAAAUUAAGACUUUUCGUGCUUACAUACAUGGGUGUAUAUGUGCAGUUAAGAUGGAAAUUAAAGCGAAGACAAAAACGUGUGUGGGGUAUGAAGAGGUGGAAUGAAGGCGUGGCUCAGGUGUCUCCAUUCCCAAGGCCGUUUCCCCCUCCUG